CUUUUUCCUGAAGGUCAGGAGGGAGGGAGCCGAUCUAAUUUCACUAGGGAGGGAAUUCCACAGGUGAGGAGCCACCACUGAGAAAGCCUUGUCUCUCAUCCCCACCAAUUAUACCUGCGAAGGGGGUGAGAUUGAGAGCAGGGCCUUCCCAGAUGAUUUUAACCUUCAAGGUGGAUUAUAGAGAGAAAUGUGUUCAGACAGGUAAGCUAGGCUGGAACUGUUUAGGGCUUUACAGGCUUGGUAACAGACUGGCAGCCAGUGUAGGUGAUGUAACGGGGGAGGGGGGGGGUUAUGCUCCCUUUACGCUGCCCCAGUGAGGAAUCCGGCUGCCACCCAUUUGAACCACUUUAAGCUUCCGAACAGUCUUCAAAGGCAACCCCAUAUAGAGCACCUUGCAGUAGUCUAUUUGAGAUGUAACAAGAGCAAAAGCCCUAAACGGUUUGGGACCCACCUACCUCCGUGACCGUAUCUCCCUCCAUAAACCUGCCCGAUCUUUACGAUCAUCCGGGGAGGCCCUUUUAUCACCACUGUCGUUAUCCCAGGCCCGCCUUGUGAGUACAAGGGAGAGGGCCUUCUCUGCUGUGGCCCCCCGACUGUGGAACUCACUACCCACUGAAAUUAGGCAAGCUCCCACGCUGUUAGCUUUUAGGAAAGACUUGAAAACAUGGCUUUUCCGCUGUGCCUUCGGUGAGUAAUUUCUGUCAUAUAUUUCUGUGUUACUCCCACCCCGAACAUCUAUCCUCUAGAUUACCCCACUUCCAUAUGUCCCUGCCCGCAGUGGAGUACCCCUCUGUCCCUCUCACUCCAGGUUUUAUCUCUGUGUUUACGCGGCCUGCCCUUGUUUUAUUGUUUUUUUGAUUUCUUGAUGUAAUGCCUAUUAUUAUUUAUUGUAUUUUUAAUUGGUGCUAUGAUAUGUUGUUUUUAUAUUUUAUAUUGUAUUGCUCUGGGCAUGGUGUUAUGGUUGAGCCUCAUGGCUCUACUACUGGGAGACGUGGGCGUAAGACUCCUCGAGAGUCAGAUACUCUCGAGGAGCGAGAAAGGAAGCGGCUGCGAGAUAUCUUUGCAGAACCAUCUGACGAGGAUUCUUUUGAGGGGUUUACUGAGAGAAUGGAGGAAGAGAUGGUUAGCUCGGAAGAGGAUGACAUGGAAUGGACUCGUGUGAGGGAGGAUUUGGGUGCCACUGGCAAUGAUAGUAUGGAAGGCCUUCAGGAUUAGACCCGUGGACAAGCUGGAGGGAUGGGACAGGAUCCACAGCUGGGGAUGCUGUGGGGCGUAGUCAAAGGUGUUUCAGUUCUGAUGAGGAAAGUGAUGAGGAAACGCCCGGACUGAGGAGAACAGCUGAUAGCGAUGAGGACUUGUAACUGGCAUAAAAUGGGGUUUGGGAGCAAUAGCAAAUUGCGUUGGGCAAGGUAAUCUGGACAAACGCUUGGGAUCUGUGUGGGAAGUUUUCCUGAAGACGGGUGUGAUUCGUUUGCUGACUACCUUUGACCUUCCGUCGUCUUCUUGACGGACGCCAUCUGCUUACUCUGGACUUACGGACUGACUGACUACGGCCUCGGAUUCUCCUACCUGUGUCUAUCGUUGGAACUGGUGAACUACAAACAUCUGUAUCUGCCUUACGACCUUCGGAACGGAUUGGGACUUCGCUGACUGCAUCUGCCCUCGUCUGCUGUGUUUGUAUCUGGAAAUUGCCUGCUGUGUGGAGGAGUAAUCUCUAAGUUACUCAAACAUAGCUCUUGGCAGCAGAGAAGCAUCUGCUGCCAAUUAUUUGCAUUCCUUUGAACUUUUUGUUCACCAGCUUCUGUUUGUUUAUUCCCAGGCUGAAGCAAGCUGUUUUGAUUUAACCCGGAUUAAACUCCGGUUUAAUCCGGUUUAUCUUUUGAACGUUUUUCUUGUCUCUUUUUACUUUUAAGGCCAGUGUUUGCCUAGCCCUUGUCUUUUACGGGCAUUUUUGGUUCUGUAACUCCAAUAAACUUUGUUAUAUUUUA